AUGCAGUUUCCUACUUCGACUGAAGGACACUUGAAAUUUGUCAUCUUAUUCUGGAUUCUGUCUGAGAUUACCAUAAUGAGGAUGAUGAUGAUGAUGAUGAUGAUGAUGAUGAUGAUGAUGAUUAUUAUUAUUAUUAUUAUUAUAUUACCCACCACGCCUUACGACUCCAGGGAGGACACAACAUUAAAGCAAAGAGAUAAAACACUAUUAAAAUACAAGAUACACAGAGUUAAAUGCAGGUUAAAAUGCACUGAUAAAUACAGAUUACAAUUCACAAGAUAAAUUGACUGGCUAGGCCUGCCAGAAGAGAUGGGUCUUCAGUUGCAUCUUAAAUUCUAACAACUUUACCAACUUAUUAUCACCAAAGUUCCCAAUUUAUGACAGUAGCUAAACCAGACAGGUCAAAUUAACUGUACACUACUUUAACAUUUUGGAUAUUUACAUGGGAAGGAACAAACAGGUACUAUUUCAGGCUAUUUAUUAUAAGUAUUAAUACACAGAAAUAUAUAAAUACAUAUACAUUCUCUGCAAAGAGAAACACAAACAUAGCAAUGCCUGCUCUGUUAUAUUUCAUAACAUUACAUGUAAGGCAAUGCUAUUUCAUUAUACGAUAUAUAAAACACUUUAUAUUAAGUCAUAGCCAGUAUAUGAUAUUCCUCAAGAAACAUUCAUAUAUGUAUAUCUCCCUGUUCACCUCUUUAACAGAUUAGACAUAUACGGUAAGAACAUCACCCUUUUAAACCCGUUACCAUGUAAUAUUCUCUCUGUAUCAUCCUAAUUAAGCUCUUUCUAAUCACAUAGUUUUCCAUAGUGUCUGCUAACUCAUUAUACAGACACUUGCUAAAGGCUUGUACAUAUUCACAAUUUUAUCCCUUAUCAUAUUCUUAGCCAUUUACAUCUGUUUGAGAAAUGUUACAACUCUCAUAAUCAUAGGCUAUCACUUGUGGGUGAGUGUGAUUGUCUCAAGGGUAGAGUCUUGCAUCCAUAAAUGACUGUAGAGACCUAUUCUCGAUCUGCAUGGUCUUUCACAGUGAGGACAUACAUUUUCAAAUGGAAGGCGGUCCCGACAAGGUUUGCUUGAUGCCUUCUUGGUGGCAUGUUUCUCUCUUUCGCCCUCUAUUAGUUCCUCAUCAAAAUCCACAGCAGUAUCGUAACAGCUGACCUCCAAUUAGAACACUCAAGUGUCAGGGCUUCCCAGUUCUCUGUAUGUAUUCCUUAUUUUUAAGGUUAGCUUUAAGUCCAUCUUUACAUCUCUGUCCACCGACAUUAUGUUUUCCAUUCUUGAGCUGAAAGUAAAAUAAAGUAGAGUCUCACUUAUCCAAGCUAAACAGAAGCUUGGAUAAGCGAAUAUCUUGGAUAAUAAGGAGGGAUUAAGGAAAAGCCUAUUAAACAUCAAAUUAGGUUAUGAUUUUACAAAUUAAGCACCAAAACAUCAUGUUAUACAACAAAUUUGACAGAAAAAGUAGUUCAAUACGCAGUAAUCUUAUGUUGUAACUACUGUAUUUAUGAAUUUAGCACCAAAAUAUCACGAUAUAUUGAAAACAUUGACUACAAAAAUGGCUUGGAUAAUCCGGAGGCUUGGAUAAGUGAGACUCUAUUGUAGCUGCUUUGGGAGACUGUGGUGAGGCAUUCAAACAACAUGGCCAGUCUAGUGAAGUUGAUGGCAGAGAAUCAUUGUUUCAGUGCUGGUAAUCUUUGCUUCUUCCAGAACAUCUGAGUUUGGCCUUCUGACUUCCCAAGAGAUUUGCAGGAUUUUUCAAAGGCAAUGCUGAUGGAAUCGUUUCAGAGGUUGAGAGUGACUUCUAACAGACUUCUGUCUAACACAGACCUGAAAGAGUUAAACCAUAUAAGCAAAGGUGAAUGUACACUACAGAAAAAUAAUGUAUGUGUAUACACUCUUGUAACAAUCCCAAGAAAUGUAAUACAAUUCAGGUUUCUACAACUCUAUAUUAAAGUAAUUCUCUAACAAACUAUAUUGCAUAUAACAAAAUUGCUUUCAGGAUUUCAUAAACAAAGGUACAAUAUCCAUGUCAUACUCUCACAAAGUAUACUAUAUCAAAAGUAAAUAACAGACAAAAAGAGACAACCAAGUCUAUAUUAUUCCUGGAGUUGCGUAGAAUCUUGGGCCAAUGUCAAUUGUAGUAAAAAUAUUCAGUGUCCAAGAUAACAGUUUCUAUAUUCAAAGGAAUUCUUCGUUUGCUUUGCAAUGCCAAGAACUGGAACACAACAAGGUAUCCCGGGUUGUUCCCCUUGUUUCGUUAUCACUUCCUCGGGUGUUGUGUCUGUUUAAAUGUUAUUGUGCUUAGCACGCUAGAUGUACACUACCCCACUAUCCCAGGUUUAUCUGGCAUCCAGCAUUGUGUACACUAGAUUUGCCCUGGGAUUGUUCUCAUAGAAAAACCCCUCCCCAGCUGCCCCUCAGUGGCACCAAACCAACUCUACCGGUUGGCCAUUGCCUGUGGUGACAUUAGCCAAAGUGACCGAAUGACAAGGGAAUAGGGAGAGGAGGAAUCAUUGUUUCCACUCCCCACCCCUUUCCCCAUUCACCUCACCCAACAUCACAAUAGAUGGCAGAUGACCAGUAGGACUCAUGUUGCAACCAGAGACCACCACAACACAGAGGGCAGG
rnacentral:lncRNA from 1 species